AUUGAACGCUGGCGGCAGGCCUAACACAUGCAAGUCGAACGGUAGCACAGAGAGCUUGCUCUCGGGUGACGAGUGGCGGACGGGUGAGUAAUGUCUGGGAAACUGCCCGAUGGAGGGGGAUAACUACUGGAAACGGUAGCUAAUACCGCAUAACGUCGCAAGACCAAAGUGGGGGACCUUCGGGCCUCACACCAUCGGAUGUGCCCAGAUGGGAUUAGCUAGUAGGUGGGGUAAUGGCUCACCUAGGCGACGAUCCCUAGCUGGUCUGGGAGGAUGACCAGCCACACUGGAACUGAGACACGGGCCAGACUCCUACGGGAGGCAGCAGUGGGGAAUAUUGCACAAUGGGCGCAAGCCUGAUGCAGCCAUGCCGCGUGUAUGAAGAAGGCCUUCGGGUUGUAAAGUACUUUCAGCGGGGAGGAAGGCGGUGGAGUUAAUAACUUCACCGAUUGACGUUACCCGCAGAAGAAGCACCGGCUAACUCCGUGCCAGCCGCCGCCGUAA
rnacentral:rRNA from 1 species